rnacentral:lncRNA from 1 species
GUAGUGACUUCAAAGUUUCGCCGGUCAGGGCCUGAUUCAACUUACUUUCAACCGCACAUUUGAAGGCACAUGGGUUAUUGUAACACUUCAUCGUCACGUUUUCAUUUAUUUGUGGUUAUUGAACUUCGCUUCUUGCCAUCAAGUUACUAUUAUUUAUUUAUUUAAUUUUUGUAUUAUAAUACCUACCAACCACCACCACCUGUUGACUCCGGCCCGGCUUUUAUUUCCUGUUGGGUUUUCUUUAACUCUUGUUUAAUUUAAAUCUAUCUACACACGCACACACUCAUUCUAUACACAUGUAAAAUACAGAUUUCUGUGCGUGUGUGUAAUAUCAGUCACAGUAACACUGCUUUCAAUCUGAAACCUUCCACUUCUGUAAUAAAUCUAUUUAAUUUAAAACACAUGGCGAUCACAUCAUGAUGAAUGGAUAGUUAACAACUGAAUGCUGUUGUUAACGGUUGCUACUUUAUUUCGAUCUGGAGCCAUUUACUUCCCUUAUUGCUGUAAGCAAAGGCGUUAACAUCAUCAACUCAAUUUUUAAUCUUCCCAUAUAUAUAUAUAUAUAUAUAUAUAUAUAUAUAUGUGGGGUAGUAUGUCUCUGUUACGUGAGAAAUCAAUGAUGAAACGAUGAGUCAGUUGCAAAAGCAUUAUAUUUGAGGAUAAAUAUAAUAGAUUAAAUCUAACAUAACUGGGAGUAUUCAAUAUGUUUAGAAAUAAAUCCGCAACGACUUGAUUCACAAGCCCAGUCAAAGAGUCUAUGUGGUUGAUCGACCUACUACAAACAGCAGUGAAGUCACACAUCUUGAUUAGGAAGAGAAACCACCCCUAAAAGAAUCGGGUGAUGGUCAGCUGGAAUGCUUUCGAUCAUAACUCUGAUUCUCUCAAGGUUGACCUGGUGUUAAACAGUAACAACAGCUACUAUUUGAUUCUCAUUUAAAAAAAAAAUUUAUGUUCACAAACAUCAACAAAUGUGAAAAUUCACAGCCAGUCACUGGCACUAAUUUUGUGUUUAAUGCUCGUAAUGUAAGAAAUGUUAAUUAAAAGAUGAUUACGUGAAGCAUGUUCGUUUAUUUCUCGUUUAACUAUUUUACAGAGAUUAGUUAAAUACACCGAGAAAACACGUGUUUGCCAUACAUUCUGGCUGAAGUGGCGUGCUUAAAGCAGGUACUGCAAUAUACCGAGGAGGAAGGAGGAGGAGGUGACGACAACUAAAUGCCUCAAAUACCAUAACACUCAGUUAAUUAUUUAUCUCACACACACACAAAAUACAAGAACUUUAUCUUACGAAAGAGUCCUUAAGAGGUCACUCGACCUGCUAAAAAUUACAGUUAAAUCUCCCUUCUCAAAGUACACUCUAUACCAUCUUAAAAAGGACAAGGAGAAAUUGGAUAAUGCAGUCCUAGCUACGCACUACCUACGAAAAUGAUAUGUAGGUGAUGUUAGCAUGAUCCUAGGUACAUUUCGGGCAUAUAUACAUAUAUAUAUGUAUGUGUAUACAUAAGAUUGGCCUUAGUUUUACUACUUUGUUUAUUAACUACGAGUUCAAAUUCUCUUUUUUUUUAAACAAAACUUUUAACUAUUAAUUUACAAAUCUUUUGUAUUUUCUUAGAUCUUUUUUUAUAUAGUUGGAUAAUCUAUAAACUUCAAUGGUGUGAAUUUUAAAACAAGACAAAUUAUCAUUGUAGAAGCAACAAUAGGACCUGUGUUUAUAUCGGCAAUUUAAUCCAAUCAGGAAACGAACCAACCAACAACAAAACAAAAAAGAAAUAAAUAAAAAGAAGAAAGGAGAAAAAAAGGACUAUUUUGAUAGUAGACAAAGACAGUUUUAUUACCGGCGAUCAGCAAAUGAUAAAAAUGUCAUAUUAUUUAUUGUACUAUAUUACAAUAGAAUUU